rnacentral:rRNA from 1 species
UACGGAGGAUGCAAGCGUUAUCCGGGUUUAUUGGGUUUAAAGGGUGCGCAGGUUGUUUGAUAAGUCAGUUGUGAAAGUCUGUCGCUUAACGGUAGGAUUGCCAUUGAUACUGUUGGACUUGAAUAUGGAUGAGGUAGGCGGAAUGUGUAGUGUAGCGGUGAAAUGCAUAGAUAUUACACAGAACACCGAUUGCGAAGGCAGCUUACUAAUCCAUCAUUGACGCUGAGGCACGAAAGCGUGGGGAUCAAACAGGAUUA